UACGAAGGGUGCAAGCGUUACUCGGAAUUACUGGGCGUAAAGCGUGCGUAGGUGGUUUGUUAAGUCUGUUGUGAAAGCCCCGGGCUCAACCUGGGAAUGGCAAUGGAUACUGGCAAGCUAGAGUGCGGUAGAGGGUAGUGGAAUUCCCGGUGUAGCGGUGAAAUGCGUAGAGAUCGGGAAGAACACCGGUGGCGAAGGCGGCGACCUGGUCCUUGACUGACGCUGAGGCGCGAAAGCGUGGGGAGCAAACAGG
rnacentral:rRNA from 1 species